rnacentral:tRNA from 1 species
GCCGAGGUAGCUCAGCUGGUAGAGCACGACUCUGAAGAAGUCGGUGUCGCCGGUUCAAGUCCGGCCCUCGGCA